CCUACGGGAGGCAGCAGUGGGGAAUAUUGGACAAUGGGGGCAACCCUGAUCCAGCCAUGCCGCGUGAGUGAUGACGGCCUUAGGGUUGUAAAGCUCUUUUCUCCGGGACGGUAAUGACGGUACCGGAGGAAUAAGCCCCGGCUAACUUCGUGCCAGCAGCCGCGGUAAUACGAAGGGGGCUAGCGUUGCUCGGAAUCACUGGGCGUAAAGGGCGCGUAGGCGGCUGACUUAGUCGAGGGUGAAAGCCCGUGGCUCAACCACGGAAUGGCCUUCGAUACUGGUUGGCUUGAGACCGGAAGAGGACAGCGGAACUGCGAGUGUAGAGGUGAAAUUCGUAGAUAUUCGCAAGAACACCAGUGGCGAAGGCGGCUGUCUGGUCCGGUUCUGACGCUGAGGCGCGAAAGCGUGGGGAGCAAACAGGAUUAGAUACCCUGGUAGUCCACGCUGUAAACGAUGAAUGCUAGCCGUUGGUCUGCAUGCAGUCGAGUGGCGGCCGCGUACGCAUUAAGUCAUCCGUCCGUCGGGGAGGUACGGGUCGGCGAAGAAGUUAAACGUAACAAAUAAGUAAGUUAGUUACGGCGUGAGACGUGCCGACGGCGACGACGAGGGAGGAGG
rnacentral:rRNA from 1 species